GAUGAACGCUGGCGGCGUGCUUAACACAUGCAAGUCGAACGGAAAGGCCCAAGCUUGCUUGGGUACUCGAGUGGCGAACGGGUGAGUAACACGUGGGUGAUCUGCCCUGCACUUCGGGAUAAGCCUGGGAAACUGGGUCUAAUACCGGAUAGGACCACAUUUUGGAUGGUGUGGUGGAAAGUUUUUCGGUGUGGGAUGAGCUCGCGGCCUAUCAGCUUGUUGGUGGGGUAAUGGCCUACCAAGGCGUCGACGGGUAGCCGGCCUGAGAGGGUGUACGGCCACAUUGGGACCGAGAUACGGCCCAGACUCCUACGGGAGGCAGCAGUGGGGAAUAUUGCACAAUGGGCGCAAGCCUGAUGCAGCGACGCCGCGUGGGGGAUGACGGCCUUCGGGUUGUAAACUCCUUUCGCUAGGGACGAAGCGUUAUGUGACGGUACCUGGAGAAGAAGCACCGGCUAACUACGUG
rnacentral:rRNA from 1 species